GCCAGUGUGGCUCAGUGGAUAGAGCAUCAGCCUGCGGACUGAAGGGUCCCAGGUUCGAUUCUGGCCAAGGGCA
rnacentral:tRNA from 1 species